AUAAACUAAGGGUCGUCGUUUGUAGGCUCGUGGCCGGAACCCGAAGCUCAAGUUGUGGUCCAGUAUGUCAGAAAAAUCCAGUUCACCUUCGUAGGCUUUUUCACCUCAUCUUAUCAAAAGCAAAAAAAUCAAAUGUGUUUCAUAGGAUUUGCUAUAUACGUGUACCCCUUUGUAGGCUUUUUCAGUUCAAAUUUUGCUAGCAAAAAUAGAUUUGUAGCAGUUCAACAUAAAAAGUGAAACCAGUUAGUUGAUGGGAAAUAAUUCAAUUAUAUAUGUAUACACUGCAGUAGGAGUUCGGUACAAAAAAAAUUAGCGGUUUGUUAAACAAAAAUAGAAACACAUAUUGUGGUUUAGGGCCUAGACUACAAACACUUCAGUAGCUAAAAAAUGUUCAAAAUAUAGUUACAAUAGUAGUUCGGAGUUCAAAUAUAGUUACCGUCAACGAAUUGGAAUUUUUCAGAUGUUGAGAGGGAAAAAUGCACUGCUUAGUUCAGAAAUAGCUGGAAAAAAAACUAUAGCUUUCUGUAUGCAUGUUUUAUGUUCUUGCAACAAGUGACACCAAACCUGUUUGAUGGAAUGUUCAGAAGGAAUGAUCACACACAAGUGACACGCUCAGUUCAAAAAUCUUAUUUUAGAUCAGUGCAAUUCUUAUGAAGCUCUAAUGGACAUUAUGAUUGCAGUAGAGCUGGACUUCCUCGUAUUCAAGUGCACGCAAGUAAGCUUCAUUUUUGUUUUGUUUAAAGCUACUCCCCAUAAAGUAGUAUCAUUCUUGUGUUUUCUGUACUUGAAGUUGAAUAGUCAUUAUAUUGCCACUUGGGUUCUCUUGCGUCAUUCACCCAGACAAGACCAGAAAAAAUUUCAUGUGUAUCUUGCUAUGCAUCGUGAACUCAUAGAGGAAAUCAACUUUAUAAUCCUUUAUGACUAUGGUGAAUUUUUUCUGGUAGUAUUAACUUGAUACAUUAUUAUCAUUUUUCCAGGGAGUCUACAAGUGCAGGAAUGGUGGGCUCCCAGCCUAUCGAGACCUAAACAUUCGAGUUCAAUUUAGAAGUAUUUACAAUUGUUCAGACCUGAGUUUACAACGGAAAAACAUUUGGAAAUUUAUCGAGCGAAAAUACUUGUUAGAUUCAUUUAAAAAGUGUCGUAUAGUUCAACUUUUAUAUAUAAUAAAUUCAUAAUGAAAUGUGGGAACAAUUCAAUA
rnacentral:lncRNA from 1 species